CUUCUUCCUUUGCUUUCUAGUGUGUUUUUUUCUAUCUUUUUAGUUUUAUUUCAGUAUUUCUGAUUUCUCUUAUAAUUUUCUGGCUACAUUCACUAUAUUUGCUACGAAGACUGAUGAACCCAAGAUAUUCGGUAAUAUGUCUAAAACAACUUAACUAUUUGCUGAGAAUCUGGAUGGAGCUCCGCCCAAGUCAGCAUAUGUUCCAUCACAUCUCAAAACAAACCUUUAACUGAUCCUACUGCACAAGCUUCAUAUAUUAGGGCUGUUGCAUUUGGUAAUAACCAUGGUAGUUAUGGUGUACCAAAUGUUUUUGGGACUAAUUGGAGUGGUCAAAAGAAUGAAAACAAAUCUUUUUAUGCUGGUUGAGGAGGACGUGUUGGUGGUGGAAAUAGCAGAAGUGGUGGUUGGGAUUAUGGGAGGGGUUGGGAAGUUAACUCGUAGACGUGGUGGUUGGGAUUAUGGGAGGGGGUGGGAAGUUAAACCUUUUAAGGAUGAUGAUAGUGAAACUGUUGGUAAAUAAGAAAGUUUUGUAGUCAAUUUUAAUGCAUUAGAGGGUAUUCCAGUGGAAACGAUCGGGGAGAAUAUGCCACAAAAUUCUUUUUUUCUUUUAGGGGUUUCUGCCACAAAAUUCUUGAUUUCCUUGAAAGUUUGUUUUAUUUUUUAUUUUAUUUUGGUAAUUAUAUCUGAUCCACACAUGCUUGAUUGAAAGUAAUGAACUAAUACAUGUAAUUGUCUAUUAUUUUGGAUUACUUAUCGUUAAUGUAUGUUUCUGACUUUAGGUACUAAUGAACUACUAUAAGCCAAAUCUCAUGCGCAAAAUUCUGUAAUUUUAAGCUUGAUGUUAGAAUAAGAGCUCUUUGGUACAUAAUUUAUUUAGUUAUUGAUAGAAUAGUGUCACGAUUUGAGUCAAUGCCCUAGCUACGAUGAGUAUCCCGAACCACGAGGGUCCGAGAGACCCCUUAGCACAUCAUCAUGAGCAUAACUUAAACUAAAACAAAGCGCGGAAGAUAAAUAGAAUCAUAACAAUACCUUAAUCAAAUUUAAUAAAUUCAGUGCAUCACUCCAUAAGUAAACACAAAUCCAUUCUACACUAAUCUCUGAAGUCUCUACUGAAAUGAAAAAUACUAGUCUGACUAAACAAGGACAAAGCCCCAGGCCAAAACCAUAAAACUGACUGAGAU